UUUCAUCACAAAUUUCUGUUUAUUCACCCAAAGUGCAAGAGUAAAAAUACAGAACAGGUGAAGUUAAAUAGCUAAAACGUAAAAGAAUUUACAAAAAAGAAGAUUUUUUUUCUAGAAAAGAUCAGAAGUAGUGGAUAAUGCAGUUUAUUUCUGGGACAGUCUCUCCAGCACUGACACCGUACGUCCCAUCAGUCCAACCAAGGUGUUUGAAUUUUCAUCCAUCCUCUGGAUGUUCUGGAGCAUGGCAGAGGUCAGGUCUUGGUCUCUGGAUGUUCUGGAGCAUGGCAGAGGUCAGGUCUUGGUGUCUGGAUGUUCUGGAGCAUGGCAGUGGUCAGGUCUUGGUCUCUGGAUGUUCUGGAGCAUGGCAGUGGUCAGGUCUUGGUCUCUGGAUGUUCUGGAGCAUGGCAGAGGUCAGGUCUUGGUGUCUGGAUGUUCUGGAGCAUGGCAGUGGUCAGGUCUUGGUGUCUGGAUGUUCUGGAGCAUGGCAGAGGCCAGGUCUUGGUGUCUUCUGAACUGUUCCUCUGACCUCUCCAGAUACUGCAGCAGAUCCAC
ensembl:lncRNA